rnacentral:snoRNA from 1 species
GUGGAUGAGAACAGGAUUUGUCAAGGUCAAAAUGGUGACUAAACGUGCAAUGAUUGCAAACAGCAGCCUCCUUGGUAGUGUAGGUGGCCUGUUGCCUAAGGGAUCUUGGAGACAGUC